GACGUAGGGCGCGAGCGUUGUCCGGAUUUAUUGGGCGUAAAGAGCUCGUAGGCGGUCUGUCGCGUCUGCUGUGAAAACCCGAGGCUCAACCUCGGGCCUGCAGUGGGUACGGGCAAACUAGAGUGCGGUAGGGGAGAUUGGAAUUCCUGGUGUAGCGGUGGAAUGCGCAGAUAUCAGGAGGAACACCGAUGGCGAAGGCAGAUCUCUGGGCCGUAACUGACGCUGAGGAGCGAAAGCAUGGGGAGCGAACAGG
rnacentral:rRNA from 1 species